CCCGCCGCCCGCUGCAGGUCGGCGGUUGGUCGCUCGGAAGCCGCCCCAGUUUCUGUUUUUCUCGGGACGUCCUGCCAGGUCGGGGCGCGAUGCCUCUGGACCCUCGGGUGGCCAUGGGGGACCUUGGCAGUCAGGACACCUUGGCCAUCUUCAACCGCCUGCGUCUGGCGCUUAGCCACCAGGUGUGUUUUGACUGCAGUGCCAAAAAUCACAACCAGACAAGCAUAAUCUAUGGGAUGUUUCUUUUCAUCAAUUGCUCAGGGUCACUCUGUGUUCACUAGAGAUUUAUCUGGUGUGUUGAUGGCCGCAUGGAGAUGAGAGACAGUUCCUUUGGUAGCGGGGAUGACAGUGCUGGUUCCUACGGGAAUAAGGAAAGCAGUCGAGACACCUAGACCACUGGUAAAAGCACAGGCUCUUCGGACAACUGUGAGCUGCAGGACCAGGAAGCCAGAACUACAGGCUGGAGUACCUUCUGUACCCUCUUUCCCAGCACUCACUUCACACCCAGAGUGGCUGACAGGUGGCCAUCAUUGUGUAGAGAGGCAGGGGGAGCCAGGACAUAAUUGGGCCAGCCUUGCAGGUCUGUUGCUAUCUGGGCUACAGUCAGGCAGGGCUUGGCGGAAGCCAUCAGCUGCUUUGAUGCUCUGUUCCAGCUCUCGGUAAAUGGCUUUGUAGCUAAAUCACAGAUAGAAAGCUCUAUAAAAGCAGGGCCCAGCCACCAUUCCUCACAGCCACAGCAGGCCCUGGAGCCUGCAUGAUAGUCUCUGCAGCCACACAGUUUCCCAGACACACGUCAGGGACGCCAUUCCCUGGUGUCACAUGUACAGAUGCAGACACCAUCCUCUAGAACCUGGGACCCACCAACAAAUAAGCUUUGUAUCAAACCAGGGGCACACUGAGACUUGCCCUGCAUCAAAUCCUGGGUGUGCUCUGUGGGUGCAACUGUGCAGUCCCACUGGGUCAGGUCAUAUUGAGGAAGAAGCCUUUAGAGGAGAAUGUCAGAGUGCCUCCUCCUCCCAUUUCUCUCAGGAGAGCUGGACGUUUUCCUCCCUAUGUGAAAGGUAGUAUGGGAGGAGGCCAGAACUACAAGACCCAGUCCGGCCUCCUACGACCAAGAACACGGGUCUAGGCUGGACCUGAUAGAUCACUUAUUGUCCACAUAGGUGGUUCUUCUCCUUUUCUGAGCCUCAGUUUCCUUCUCUGCUGAGUGGGUAUAAUACCUAUUCUAAGGAUUGAAUUGUGUUCUCCAAAUACAAUAGCUGAAGUCCUAACCUCAGGUUGUGACCUUUUCUGAAAACAGGGUCUUUUAGAGGUGAACAGCUUAAAACAGGUUCAGUAAAAUGGCCCCAGUGCGGCAGGGCUGCUGUCCUUAGAAAGAAGGAGAAAUCUACCCUAGAUACUCAGGGAAAGAUGGCCAGAGGCCUGGAGAGAAGUGGUCAGAUGUCGGGAAAGCUGAGGACUGUGGCAGACCCACAAGCUGGAAGAGGCAGAAGGACCUGCCUGGAGCCUUCAGUGGGGAGUGUGACGACACCGAGGUUUCUGACUUCUGUCUUCUAGAACUGAGGGAUGAGCGUCCCUCGGUGUCUGCCAUGCCACCCAGAUUCUGUCACAGCAGCCCUAGGAGCCACUGCACCAUGUACCCCAGAGGUGACUUGGAACAUAGAGAUUCAGGCCUUUGCCAGAGCCAAGUACAAACAGUGGAAGGUACCUCAUACACAGAAGAGCAGGACACAGUCCCAGCCCUGUCCCUGUCCCUGUCCCCUAAAAGCUGUGUAGCAGCUCAGUUUCCUCAACAGGAAGAUGGGGACAAUUCGGCCUACUUUCCAGGCUGUCACAGAGAUGAAAUGACAGCAGAGCCCCUGUGCAAUGACUGCUUUCCAUCUUUUUAGAAGAGACAAAAGGAAUGUCAUUUUCUACUGACAACAAGCUUUGACCUGACAUUCAUUUCUCAACGCUUCUGCCAGAAGGAUGGAGGAAGUGGAUUUCUGUCUCUGUCCCGUUAUCUGGCUCUCUCCUGAUGCAGGCACGCUGUGUCACGAGUCAAACUGGAGAUGGUCUUGCUGCCUGGCCUCCCCAGGACUACAGCCACUAAGAUGUCAACGGUCAAGCUGGCAGCAGGGAAGAGAGGACCUCUACAAGGGACUGUCCUUGGGGGCAGAAGACACGAGGCCUGGCCAGUGGUGCACCGGUGCAGGUGGAUUUCCAGAAUGCCGGGUCUGGCUGGUCCUGGCUGUGGCACCAGAUCAGACAGCUUCCCUUCCUGUCCAGACCCCUUUGGAGCUGGCAGCAUGGAGCCUUCCAUGGCCCUCUUGGGCCUCCGGAAUGUGGUGUGCAAAGCCCUGUGGGUGAGCGCCCCACCCCCAGCCUCCCUGUGACUCACACUGAUGAGUUCUCUGCCUCAGGGAAGCUUACCUAGCCACAUUGGACAGGUCCAGGUGCUUCUGAACCUCCAGCAGAACCUCCCGGAAGAAGCGCAGACGCUUCUCUUCAAACUGCUGGCACUGCUCGAACACCUGCUCCAUGUUCUCCAUGUACUGGGGCGUGGUCUGGUCAAGUUCCUUCAGGGCCUUCUCAUACUUGUCCUUGGUCUGUGUAAAAAUUGCCACAGACAGAGCUUUGUCUCCAGCCCACCUCUGUGCAACCCACGUGCCCCACUCUUCUCAGGCCUCCCAGAUCCCAAAUGUGGGAGCAGAAGUUCUGGAGCCUGGCAUUCUCCAAGUCCAGUCCAGCUCCUAUGCUUCUCCAUGGCAAGUCACUCUAUGCCUGCUCUGCCUCUCCCCGGAGCAAGGACCACGCAGGUAGAUACAGGUGAGAGAUGGUGACACUGACACUCAGUGUCCUGGAUCCCAAGUAUACAUCUACGUUGGUGGCAUAGUUGUGAGCACAGCUGCCUUCUUUGUUCACUGCAUGCCUGUGUUCAUUUUGUCAGUGGGGAGGGCUGUGCUGUGCACCACUCUAGCCUAGAUCUGGCCCCAGCAGCUGUGGUACCUUAGAGACAAGGUCAUUGUCCUAAGGACAAAUGGUCCUGAGCCUCACUUUCAUUAUCAGAAAAUGAGAAUACUUCCUGCUUCAUAGUAUUUUGAGACUUAAGCAACCCACACAAAGCUACAUGGAUUAGACAUUCCUAGUCUGUCCAUGCAGCCUCUUUGUCAAGGAUAUCUGUAGGAAGGGCAAUAAGGUAAAAGGAUAGAUUAAGAGCAGUUUGGUCCUGCUUAAACUGGUCUCUGGACAGAAUGUAUUAAAUCCCUAGGACAUGAUGAAAGUGAACACUUGACAGGUGUGCUCAGGCUUAGAGACCACAUUUACCCAGGCUUGCGUACCCUACCCUCCAUGCCAUGCUAAUCUAUUGCUUUUGUGAUUCCAGUUUUGUUUGGUGACAGGAACUUCCUGGGCGUAGGGGCAGCUGGAUUCUGGGAAUACCUUUUUAUUGCAGAGCUUUCCAUACGUGUCUCUAACAACUGAAGGGUGUUCAAGGAUGCACAGGAGAAGUCCAUGGUACUCUUCCUGAAGCAGGUACUAUGGUAGUGCUCAGCACACCUCCCCAGCCUCUGAUUAACCUUCAGAGCGUCCAUUAGCACAUGGCCGCUUCAGUGUUCCAUCUGCAGCCUCAGGUGGAGGUACGAUUCACUCUUCCUUGGCCUCUGGAGCUGGCAAGCCUUUCCUGUUUGUACGUCAUACGGUGCACUCUGCUGCUUCUGCCUACAAGUAGAGUGAGUGCUAAUGACCGCAUUGCUCCAAGUGGCCUUCAUGCAGAAGACUCCCGUUUUCAGAUUCUUUUCUGAGGACUCUGGGCUUUCUGAAACCUCGACACCACUUCAUUUCCUCAAAACCUCCCAUGGCUGUGUUAAAAGCUGUUAUUGCUGUCGUGUGUGUGUGUGUGUGUGUGUGUGUGUGUGUGUGUGUGUGUGUAUACACGAUCAAGAUGAAGAAGCAGGUACAAACUAUAGAUAAACUGUCACUACAAGUAGUCAUCAGAAAAGAAUCUCACUUAGUCACUCUUGAUGGCUAAUUUCCUGAUUUAUACUAUACUACUGUGUUUGAAUAGUUUCCUUGCUACUUAAAAAGCUAAGGACCUCACUCUACAGGUACUUGCCAAGUAACUGUCCACCUGCCAGACACUCCUGGGAGUGGCUAGCCUGUCCCUUGUUGCUUUACAGGCCAGUGUAGCCUCCCAUGCUCACCCUGUGUUGCCAGACAGCAGCAAGCUUCCCUGCUUUUGUUACCAACAGAGACAAAUCAGCAGCCUGAGAUUCUCUGUGCAGAACUCCAGGCCAGGUACUGACAGACCAGCUGGCAGGUUAGAGAGUGAUGCCAGCUAGCAAAAUGCAGGGCUAAGCGUGCCUGACAUCUCAUGUUCACUUAGGGGACAGGACAGCUUCCCAUAGUUGGUGACAUUGAACUAAUGGCUGCUUUCAUAUCAUCACAUGAAAGAAUAUUACUCUCCAUUGUUCUUGCUUCCUGAGCGCAUGCUUAUGUCUCAGCCUCUGAAUGUUGCCUAUUCCCUAGCAAGUAGGAAUAACUGUCCCCAUUUCACAGAUGAGGAAACUGAAGCUGAAGUCAGUCACUGCAUCUGCCAGAGUCCUACAGCUCAGUAGCUGUGCUGGAGCUGAAAGUAGCUUUGUUCAGUUCCUGGUAGAGACAGUUUCGAUAGCAAAACCUGAUUCUUACCUGCUUUGUCGAGAGUAUAUUGAGUUUUGACUGCCUUUUUCCACAUUUAAGUUAGGAAUUUUUAAAAAACGAGAAUACCAUUGGCUAAUUUAGAAUGAAAAUCAAAAUACUCAGUGUUUCAUCCUUUGAGCUGUGGACUUUCCAGGGUACAGGCAUUAACACUGAAGGUCUCCCAGGAAAGAAAAGUGGGUCUGUUCUCAUCUUUGCCCUCUUAGGUUCUUCACAGUAUUAGCCAACAGCUUUUGUUUGUUUGUUUGCCUGGCUGGCUGUCCAGUCUGUCUCUCUGCUUUGUCCUCUAUCGGAGGCAGCAGCAAUGCAGAACUGCUAGCAAGAAGAAACCUACACUUCGACAUUUUUUACUUUUAUCUGCAUUGAGCAAAAGACCCCUCAACCAUUUGCUGACAUUUUUGAUGACCACAAGGGGAUUCUUAGAGUGCUAAAGAAGAGGAGGACCAGCCCUGGUGAUAGUUGGUGCAAAUUUGCCUUGUGGCUGCCUGAACCUGCCUGAACCUGAGCUUUGAUUUCAGCCAGUAGGCUCUUCUUUGACAGUCUACAGUGUGUACCCCUGCUCACCAGAAUGCAACCUCCUUUGCUCAUCCGUCCUGUAUUCUGUAGUGUUCACCAGCUGUCUCUGGCUUAAUCUCCCCUUUGGACUGCUGCUUGGCUGCAGCACUAACAAUCUAUAGGCUUUGUCUUUUUGUUCUGCUGACUCUAUUCCAGUAGACUCUGGCUUCUGAAAUUUUCGUCUGAACUGGUCUAGUGGCUCAUGCCUGCAAUCCUAGCACUUAGGAGGUAGAAGUAGCAUUGCCAGGUUGAGGCCAACCCAAGCUACAUAGUGAGUUCCAGACCAGCUUGGGCUACAAAGUGAUACCUGUCUGCAAAAGUAUAAAGAAGAAAAGGGAAGGGAGACGUCAGGUAGGACUAACCACUCGCACCGCAUGUGCUCUGUUCAUGUCCAACGCCCUCUCACACUUGGUUUUGGCUUCUAAUAUCUGAUUUGGUGUGGCUUUGUUUUGUGAGCACCUAUAAUUCCAGUUCUCACACCCUGUCUGCAGGUCCCAUCCUAGCCCUUCCAGGGAUGCCAUGAAAAGCAGCUCUGAGAGCCCUGAGGUGCUAGUUGCUUCUCAUGUUCACAUGUUACUGCUUUUUUGGUCUCCUGGUUAAAGGGUAGGCCUGGGAAUCACCCCAUGGGUGUCUGGGUGCUGACAUUCAUUUAGACCCAAGAGGUUCAAGAAAAAGAACUUACUGCAAUGCCCGACAUCAGUAUAACUUAGAUUAGAUGGCCAGUUGGCUGGACAAUGGGUCUGCAUUUUCUUGAAGGGAGGAAAAGAGACUUCUUUACCCACUCCUUUAUGAAAUCAUACCAGGACCCUCCUCUGACAAACCCCUAGGCCUACAGACCUUGUGAUCCAGACAGCUGAGGGAAGACACAAAGUUUCAGGGAGGAUGACCUCAGACCCUGGGCAGCAGGGAGAAAAGAUAGACAAAAGUCAGUACCUUGUGGCAGCCACCUCAGAGUAAUUCAAAAUUCAAUAAUAUGCCCCAAAAUUGAUCUAACAAGAACCAAGGCACCUGACUGAGAGCCAGUGCAUAUUUGGCCAAAAGGAAAGGUGUUAGGAAAUGACUGCUUUAUAAAGGGCUAGCCAGACAGCAGCUCAAGUGCAGCCAUGGUUAGUCCCUGGGUCAAGGAAGCAUUAUCAGUGGAACUUUGUGUGACACUUGUGGCCAGUUAUCCCAUACCUUGUGGUUUUAGGGUUUGGGUAUAAAAUGUCCCCCCAAAGCUCUGAUAGGUGGAAGGUUCCUCAGCUAGUGGUACUGUUGGGGAAUGAUUGGAUCGUAAGAGUGAUGACAUCAGUGGAUUAGUCUGUUAAUUAUUUCAUAUUUGAAUGGGCAGUUAGACCAUGGGGCCUGUUUGCACUAAGUGGGACACUGGAGGAGUACCCUGGAAGGGGUGUAUCUUAACCCAGUCUCCUUUCUAUCAUGAGGUAAGCAGUCUGCUUUGCCAAGUGUUCCAUGAUGUUCAGGCCUACAGUGAUGAGGCCAAAGAAACAUGGACUGAAGCCAUGAGCCAAAAUAAGUCUAUUCACUUCAGUUGUAUCAAGUAUUUGGGCACAACAGUAGAUACUAACACAUAUGGCUAAUCUUUUUCUAUCUAUAUGAAUGUAAAGGUGUAUAUUAUAUAUCUACAUGUAUACUGUAUGUUUACAUAUUAUGUUGUGUACAUUGUACCAAACUGAGUUAGAAAUAAACCCUUGUUUAUCAAAGAAA